rnacentral:rRNA from 1 species
CCCUAAACGAUGCGAACUGGAUGUUGGGGUCAUAUUGGACUUCAGUAUCGAAGCUAACGCGUUAAGUUCGCCGCCUGGGGAGUACGGUCGCAAGACUGAAACUCAAAGGAAUUGACGGGGGCCCGCACAAGCGGUGGAGUAUGUGGUUUAAUUCGAUGCAACGCGCAGAACCUUACCUGGCCUUGACAUGCACGGAAUUCUUUAGAGAUAGAGAAGUGCCUUCGGGAACCGUGACACAGGUGCUGCAUGGCUGUCGUCAGCUCGUGUCGGGAGAUGUUGGGUUAAGUCCCGCAACGAGCGCAACCCUUGUCCUCAGUUGCCAGCACGUGAUGGUGGGAACUCUGGGGAGACCGCCGGCGACAAGCCGGAGGAAGGUGGAGAUGACGUCAAGUCAUCAUGGCCCUUACGGCCAGGGCUACACACGUACUACAAUGGGAAGGACAGAGGGCUGCGAACCUGCGAGGGUAAGCCAAUCCCAGAAACCUUCUCUCAGUCCGGAUUGGAGUCUGCAACUCGACUCCAUGAAGUCGGAAUCGCUAGUAAUCGCAGAUCAGCAUUGCUGCGGUGAAUACGUUCCCGGGCCUUGUACACACCGCCCGUCACACCAUGGGAGUGGGUUGCUCCAGAAGCAGGUAGCCUAACCGCAAGGAGGGCGCUUGCCACGGAGUGAUUCAUGA